UGGUGUAGAUGACACCUAUUGGAAGGAUGCUAGUGAUAACUGUGCUAAAAUAAAUGGUAAACUAGCUAAAGAUAUAGGUGUUAGUGACUGGGAACUCAGAUCAGAUGGUGUAAAUCCUUUUUUGACGAACUUGUACUGGAUUGGCCUAACGUCUGUUAAUGGUGAAUGGGUUUGGCAUGAUGGGAGCCCAUUAGAUUUAAACGAUACCCAGGCCUGGCCGCUACGACCUGAAUUUGAGGCGAAUAUAACCUAUGAUUGUAUAUUAUGGAAUCCUGUUGAACCUUUCUAUAUACCCAGUAAAUGUGACGAUAUUAAAUCUUAUGUCUGUGAAUUACAAACAGGAACAACAUGCUCAUUUAUACCAGAAACCAACAUGGCUAUCAACGAAACAGGUUGGACUCCAUUAAUAGCUAGUGAUGAUGCUGAUUUAGCUAAAAAGAUGAGUCUGGUUACCAACGAAACGCUGAUUUAUAUCAAAACAGGUGAC